rnacentral:lncRNA from 1 species
UUACAAUUCUUUGACCCUCGAGCAAACUUCUCAAGCUUCUCCAUCGGUAUCAUCAUUUGGCGUUGUCUCUUUUGAACUCGAGCAAUUACAUUAUUUAAGUAACUAAAUAAAUAAAUAAAUAAAAUGCACGACACGCAGGCCGUAUUUUAAAAUAAACCACGACACGCAGGCUGUAUAAAUUAACGCACCAAAUAUCUAAGGUCAUAACCAUAUACCAUAUAUUUAAUAAAUAAAUAAAUAA